rnacentral:ncRNA from 1 species
GGAUCGGGAUUUGCCGGUGGGACGGCAGACAGAUUGAUCCGUCACGUCUUGUUUCAUGGUGCUGCUCACCCGAGGCCCCGGCGGUGAGAGCG